GACGAACCGUGCAAACGUUGUUCGGAAUCACUGGGCUUAAAGGGCGCGUAGGCGGGCAAGCAAGUCGAAGGUGAAAUCCCACGGCUCAACCGUGGAAGUGCCCCCGAUACUGCUUGUCUUGAGGGAGAUAGGGGCGUGCGGAACUUCCGGUGGAGCGGUGAAAUGCGUAGAUAUCGGGAGGAACACCGGUGGCGAAGGCGGCUCUCUGGACCACAACUGACGCUGAGGCGCGAAAGCUAGGGGGAGCAAACAGG
rnacentral:rRNA from 1 species